AUUCCGGUUGAUCCUGCCGGAGGCCAUUGCUAUCGGAGUCCGAUUUAGCCAUGCUAGCCGAGCGAGGUUAGCCCUCGCGGCGAACAGCUCAGUAACACGUGGCCAAGCUACCCUGCAGAGGGGGACAGCGUCGGGAAACUGACGGUAAUCCCCCAUACCGGUCUCACGCUGGAAUGCCGAGACCGACAAACGCUCCGGCGCUGCAGGAUGCGGCUGCGGCCGAUUAGGUAGUCGGUGGGGUAACGGCCCACCGAGCCGAUAAUUGGUACGGGGUGUGAGAGCACGAGCCCGGAGACGGAAUCUGAGACAAGAUUCCGGGCCCUACGGGGCGCAGCAGGCGCGAAACCUUUACACUGCACGAAGGUGCGAUAAGGGGACUCCGAGUGCGAGGGCAUACAGUCCUCGCUAUUGUGUACCGUAGGGUGGUACACGACCAAGAGCUGGGCAAGACCGGUGCCAGCCGCCGCGGUAAUACCGGCAGCUCGAGUGAUGGCCGAUUUUAUUGGGCCUAAAGCGUCCGUAGCU
rnacentral:rRNA from 1 species